GCAGCACAGACUUCGGUCUGGUGGCGAGUGGCGAACGGGUGAGUAAUAUAUCGGAACGUAUCCAAUAAUGGGGGAUAACUAAUCGAAAGGUUGGCUAAUACCGCAUACGCCCUACGGGGGAAAGCUAGGGAUCUUCGGACCUGGCGUUAAUGGAGCGGCCGAUAUCUGAUUAGCUAGUUGGUGAGGUAAGAGCUCACCAAGGCGACGAUCAGUAGCUGGUCUGAGAGGACGACCAGCCACACUGGAACUGAGACACGGUCCAGACUCCUACGGGAGGCAGCAGUGGGGAAUUUUGGACAAUGGGCGCAAGCCUGAUCCAGCCAUUCCGCGUGAGUGAAGAAGGCCUUCGGGUUGUAAAGCUCUUUCGCAAGGGAAGAAAACUUAGUUACUAAUAUUAACUGAGGUUGACGGUACCUUGAUAAGAAGCACCGGCUAACUACGUGCCAGCAGCCGCGGUAAUACGUAGGGUGCGAGCGUUAAUCGGAAUUACUGGGCGUAAAGCGUGCGCAGGCGGUUUUGUAAGUCAGAUGUGAAAUCCCCGAGCUCAACUUGGGAACUGCGUUUGAAACUACAAGACUAGAAUAUGUCAGAGGGGGGUAGAAUUCCACGUGUAGCAGUGAAAUGCGUAGAGAUGUGGAGGAAUACCAAUGGCGAAGGCAGCCCCCUGGGAUAAUAUUGACGCUCAUGCACGAAAGCGUGGGGAGCGAACAGGAUUAGAUACCCUGGUAGUCCACGCCCUAAACGAUGUCUACUAGUUGUUGGUGGAGUAAAAUCCAUGAGUAACGCAGCUAACGCGUGAAGUAGACCGCCUGGGGAGUACGGUCGCAAGAUUAAAACUCAAAUGAAUUGANGGGGGCCCGCACAAGCGGUGGAUUAUGUGGAUUAAUUCGAUGCAACGCGAAAAANNUUAC
rnacentral:rRNA from 1 species